CAGAAGAGAUGAGUUGUAUCUGCAUGUGGCUGUUUGUGUAUUUAUGACACCCUCUAUAAUACCACUCAUAUCAGAGAAUGUCCCUGAGUCCUGGGGGCUGUUACCACAACUUGACGAGGAACCGCAGUAACACUGGAUUUGUAACCAACAAGUAUCAAGACCCGGUGAGGAGCUGGGAGACCAGUACUUGGCUUUGGUGGCUGGGGCCCAUCUGGGACGGCCCCUCGACGUGCAGAUGCAUGGCGGUGGACCUGAAUCACUGGACACAAGCAGCUGCAGAGAACUGGAGAACUGCUUGGUAUGAGGGAACAAACCUACACCUUUGGUGUUAGCAGUGUUGUUCAUAGAGGAACCAUUUCUUUGCUUUUAGAGUUUAAAAAAUUUUCCUUAUAUUUGCUGCACUGCGUUUUAACUUCUGGAGGUAACACAUUGGUGGGGAACAGAAUCCAUCUCAGACAUUUUAAAGAGCAAAGCAUAUGGUACAGGGAAGUAAGUACCUACAAAUACUGAGAAAAGCUAGCAGAAUGGGCUAAGAGGUAGAUAGGAAGGACUCCAGACACACUGAAGAGCUGACCUGAUGAUGGAACUUGCUGCUUCUGCCACAGCUGGGAAGAUGGAAAAACCUAGUGGCUGCUAGCUAUGACCAGGGACCUGGGGUCCAGCGGCCACCACCACUGCCGGCACUGACCUCUCAACACACAUGAGAAGAAUUAUUGUUCCAAUUGUCUUAAUUGGGUCAGUGAAUGAAUAAUUACUGCACUUGAAGCAAAAUUACCAAGACAGUGCAAAGAAAAAAAGUUGUUUCUGCCUACAGAUCCUGGAGAAAGCAGUGCAUGGGAACCUCUAGGGCAAGGAUGGCAACCAAGCGCCAAACUGCAAUCCAAAACCCACUUAUACCAAAGCUCACAAAGGCUGUGGUUUAGAAAAAACAACUCUACGUACACAUUGUUUUUGUUUUUCGUGAAAGGAUCUCACUAUGUAGCCCAGGCUGGCCUCAAAUCCACAGCACUUCUCCUGCCUCAGCCUCCUGAGUGCUGAAAUGACUUUUGUGUGGUGCAUGGCUGGAGGCAGGAUGAGACUAUCUGACGGCAGGACUAGAGACGCACUACCCAAGAUGUGAGUCGCUGAACAUGUCUACCUAAACAAAUUAAAUAAGGAGUUCAGUCCUAAACACACUUCGAGUGUUCAGUGUCCACAGGUUUCUAGUCUACCACGUUGGAUUGUGCAGAGAGAAUUUUUUCAUUAUUGCAGAAGGGCGAAAGAGGUCUGCUGCCAGCUCAGGACCUUGAAGCAGUAGUUUAUAAAUUACUAUAUUCUACAAAGACCCCUUUGAAAUAGCCUUUUCACUCUAGCCCCACAGCCUUGCUGCAAUCUGUUUUAUAUGUGCAUAAAAGAUUCCUUUUGAAAACAGACCUCCAUAGCUGAAGGGGUGAAGGGCUGAAAACCCAGCAUUAUGGCGACUGAAAACCAUCACAGGUCAUGAAACAAGGCUAUGACAGAGAUUUGGGUUUGAGAUGUGU